AGCUGUGAAUACCUCCCCAUAAUCCUGCUCCAAUGUAGCUGAACGGCAAAGGUAUGACAAUGUAAACUGCUAUUCCAAGACACACACACAGAGCUCCGAUGGCUACUUCAGCGAUCUGAAAAGUUGGAAGAAAAAGAUACUCCGAAAGCAGCAAUCGACCCAAUACAAGUAAAACAUGACACCACUACAGCGGUAUUCAGCUGAAAAAAACGAUAAGUGAUAUUAUCAACAUAGUCGAGCCAGUGAAUGUACAACGAGGUUUCAUUGCAAUAACGAUCCCGAGAAUAUCAGAGAUGAUGUACUGAACAAAACACGACAGAUAUUAGGAACACAAAUGAGCCUGUUUGGAAUCUUAUUGUAACUCACCAAACCUCCACUCCAUAUGACAGAACGAUAGUAGGGGUAGAUUUCAUUAAUAUAUCUAGAUUCAUCUAUUCCCUCGAAAAUUGUAGUUGCAACACCGAUAGC